rnacentral:rRNA from 1 species
UACGGAGGGAGCUAGCGUUGUUCGGAAUUACUGGGCGUAAAGCGCGCGUAGGCGGCUUUGUAAGUUAGAGGUGAAAGCCCGGAGCUCAACUCCGGAACUGCCUUUAAGACUGCAUCGCUUGAAUCCGGGAGCGGUGAGUGGAAUUCCGAGUGUAGAGGUGAAAUUCGUAGAUAUUCGGAAGAACACCAGUGGCGAAGGCGGCUCACUGGACCGGUAUUGACGCUGAGGUGCGAAAGCGUGGGGAGCAAACAGG